CAUAAAGUGAAGUAAUGGCUCCUACAAAGAUUCUGCUCUCCGUCAUGUGCUUGCCGAUUAUUUUAACUCUUCAGCAAGAAACAAAUGCAGUGAGGAAUCUGGAGGCCAGACGGGAUACAUCAGGAUGUGACAAACGGAGUGAGACCUGCGAGUAUCCAGGUGGCUGCCAAUGCACCUGGAAUGCGAAUUACGGCAGUGAAUUCGUAAACAUGUAUCACUACGAUAGCGCUACAGGCAGAUGUGUACAACCGGGACAGGAAGAAAACUGCAACGGAUUCAAUUCAAGGCAAGAGUGCCAGGCAGCUUGCGUAAAUAGGCGAGGACAAGGAAGAAAUUGACAAGGGCAUACAGGAUAACGGAGGCAAUGACACCGAAGAAGUCAUUUAGGAUUCGUCAGAUGUGUCAUUAUCAUUCACUCAGCCAUUCGUAGUAAUAAAACAGUGAAUAAUUGUAGGAAGAA